CGAGAAGACUAACAGAAAAAGCCAUAUGACCUGAAGAUUAGAUACAUUGGUACAGAUUGCUAAAUUUUAUCAAUAGAUAUUUCUGUUUACUGGGCACACAGUUAAAUUCUAUUUCUCUGCCAGCCUCCUUGUAUCAACUUACAGCUAAGUGGUUGAGUCUGACUGAUUGAAUGUGGGCUAAAGUAAUAUAUACCACUUUAGGGCCUGACUCGUAAAUAUAUCCUUAUGAUCUCUCUAUCUCUACCUCUAAUUCCUUUCCAGUCAUAGUGGUAGGAAGCAAAUGAUUUCAAAGCCCAGAUGAUGACAGAGACCCAUCUUGGAAGGGGCUUGGAUCCCUGAGUCACUGCUUGGAGGAGAGCUGCCUGAGAUGGCUUCCUGAUCAUGAACAUCCACGUUGGACUUUGCCUGAGCAAGGAAUAAACAUCCUAUCUUAAGACAAUGUGAUUUGGAGUUUUUGGCAUAUGACCAGCUUCAAUUACGCUGCAUAAUUUACAUGUCUUUUCCCUCUUUCCCAGGUAACUCAUAUGCCUCCCAGAUGUUUAUAUUUGGAAAGAGGGAAGAAGACCCAAAUAAUAACUGAGAUCAAAUUUCUCACCAACUCACUGGGACUCUGAGAGAUGCAUUUCAUUUGAUUUAAAGAAAAUAAAUUACUUUGAAACU
rnacentral:lncRNA from 10 species